AGCAGCCGCGGUAAUUCCAGCUCCAAUAGCGUAUAUUAAAGUUGUUGCAGUUAAAAAGCUCGUAGUUGAAUUUCGGGAUCAUCAGGUUGGUCGUGCCUCUGGUAUGUACUGAUUUCGAUGGUUCCUCCUUCUUGAAGAACCGUAAUGCCAUUAAUCUGGUGUUGCGGGGAAACAGGACUGUUACUUUGAAAAAAUUAGAGUGUUUAAAGCAGGCAAUCGCUUGAAUACAUUAGCAUGGAAUAAUGAAAUAGGACGUUCGAUCCUAUUUUGUUGGUUUCUAGGAUUGACGUAAUGAUUAAUAGGGAUAGUUGGGGGCAUUAGUAUUCAAUUGUCAGAGGUGAAAUUCUUGGAUUUAUUGAAGACUAACUACUGCGAAAGCAUUUGCCAAGGAUGUUUUCAUUAAUCAAGAACGGAAGUUAGGGGAUCGAAGACGAUCAGAUACCGUCGUAGUCUUAACCAUAAACUAUGCCGACUAGGGAUCGGAUGAUGUUAAUUUUUAAUGA
rnacentral:rRNA from 1 species